CGGGGUGCAGCAGGCGCGAAAACUUUACAAUGCCGGCAACGGCGAUAAGGGAACCUCGAGUGCCAGGUUAUAAAUCUGGCUGUCGUGAUGCCUAAAAAGCAUUGCAUAGCAAGGGCCGGGCAAGACCGGUGCCAGCCGCCGCGGUAACACCGGCGGCUCGAGUGGUAACCGUUAUUAUUGGGUCUAAAGGGUCUGUAGCCGGCCGGAUAAGUCUCUUGGGAAAUCCAGCAUCUCAACUGUUGGGCUUCCAGGAGAUACUGUCUGGCUCGAGGCCGGGAGAGGUGAGAGGUACUUCAGGGGUAGGGGUGAAAUCUUGUAAUCCUUGAAGGACCACCAGUGGCGAAGGCGUCUCACCAGAACGGACCUGACGGCAAGGGACGAAAGCUAGGGGCACGAACCGGAUUAGAUACCCGGGUAGUCCUAGCCGUAAACGAUACUCGCUAGGUGUCGGCCACGGUGCGACCGUGGUCGGUGCCGUAGGGAAGCCGUGAAGCGAGCCACCUGGGAAGUACGGCCGCAAGGCUGAAACUUAAAGGAAUUGGCGGGGGAGCAC
rnacentral:rRNA from 1 species